CUCUUCCCUCUCCACUCGUUCCCCUCCCCACCGCCCACAGCCCCACGUCCCUGCCUGACGCCGACGCCGCACACCGCACACCGCUAUCGCCCGGGGCCCAACCGCUCCAUCCGCCCGCACGAGCGCCUCUUCCCGCGGCCGCACGGCGCGCGCGCCCCGGCAACUCCAAGGAAGCCGCUGCCCUUCUCCGCCGCUCCAGUUCCUCGAUUCUAAACCCCUAGAACAGUGAGCACCACCAGCGGAGCACCGGAUACUCCGGCGGCUUCCCAUCCUUCGCGCAGCUGCGCACCCCUGCACCGCCUCUCUCUCCGGUCCUCCCCCGCCGCACUAGCACGCUCCGGGUCUUUCACCCCCGCCCCGUUCGCUCUCUGGAGCUUAAUGGUAUUCCUCCUGGCGCUUCACGAACUGGGCGCUGCGGGGGUCACGAAGGGUGUCUGCUGGCCGGCCGGCGGCCGCCCCAAUGAUCGCCCCCUCCUCUGCGCAAUCAUGGCUUAAGGGUGGCAGCGAGAGUCAUCUAGCUAGGGCGAUCUCCUUAGAGUUUCGGUGGGGGCGCUCCAAAAUGAUGUGCUCCAGAAUGAGGUUUAGGAAUGCUCUUGGUUCUCGUCUCUUCCGGUGGUGUUCACGUGAUAAACACACGUCCGUGCGGAAGCUGUUGGAGGUGGAUGGGAUAUCAGAGAGAUCAAAGCUCCUCAACAAAGUGCCUGUUUUGAUGGGCUAUAGUAACACACAAUAUUUAAUGGAGCAAGAAAGAGUCCGCAAAGAAUCUGCCACGGAGUUGAUCAGUGUCUUGAAAGAAAUUGAUUUUGCAGAAAUUUCGGCUAAGUUCCCAUGCAUAAAAAUCGGUGACUCAUCACCAAUUGAACUAUAUGAUGAUUCUGCUGGUCCAUCUCCAGCAAAUGUAAAUGAUCUUUCAAUCAGUGAAGAGAGUUCUCUCAUCACUCAGCAUAUUUCUGGUGAACCAGCAGUUGAUGGGGAAGUUUGCCCCGAGUUAUUAGCUGAUGCUACAACUGCUGAUGGUAAUGUCUUGGACAAAAGUAAAAGGUGUUUGCCUGGAGAACCGGCAUUUGUUACAGAAGCUUGUCCUGAGUCAUUAGCUGAUGCUACAAGUCCUGAUAAUAAUAUCUUGGACAAAGAUAUAAGGUCCUUGCCUGGAACAACUAGUAAGCAAUAUCGUAAGCUAGAGGACGGUGGUUUCCAUACGAUCCGCAAAUUGCUGCAGCAUUUCCCUAGGACCUAUGCUGAUCUACAAAAUCCUCAAGGUCUAAUAGAAGAUGGACAGUACAUCAUGUUCUUUGGAACUGUUAUAUCUUCCAAGGGGGUCAGGAUUAGAAGUACUUUAGGUUUCGUUGAGGUUGUUGUUGGUUGUUCAAUAGUUGAGGCCAAGUUAAGCUCUUCAGAUGUGAGUUGUAACUCUGGAGCAGAGCAAAAACAGAGGAUUCAUUUGCACCUCAAGAAGUUCUUCAGUGGCCAACGUUUCUCUUCUCAAUAUUUUCUUAACUGUAUAUCAUCAAAACACAAAGAGGGGGAUAUUGUUUAUGUCAGUGGUAAGGUCAAGAAGGUACUUUCUAGUGGGCAUUAUGAUUUGAAGGAGUACACUAUUGACAAGCUCGAAGAAGAGGAGCAACAAAGUACCCUGCUUGAUGGGAAACCAUAUCCUAUAUAUCCAUCAAAAGCGGGACUGGAAGCACGUUUGCUGGGACAGUCCAUCUCUAGGGCCUUGAAGAUGCUGACUCCAGACAUUGAUCCUAUCCCUCCUGAGGUUCUCACCGAGUUCAACUUGGCAAAUCUGUUCGAUGCUUACAUGGGGAUUCACAAACCUAAGAAUCGAGAUGAAGCUGAUUUUGCUCGCCGAAGGCUUAUAUUCGAUGAUUUCUUUUAUCUCCAGCUGGGGAGACUAUUUCAAAUGCUUGAAGCAGUUGGUACACGGGUUGAGAAGGAAGAAUUGCUAUAUAAGUGUGAAAAUCAUGAGUUAAAUGCUGUUGGUGUCGAUCAGUGGUCUCCUCUGGCCAAUAAAUUGUUGAAGGCUCUUCCUUAUUCACUUACUGCUAGUCAACUAAAUGCUGUUAAAGAGAUUAUAUGGGACCUCAGAAGACCAGUUCCUAUGAACAGGCUCUUGCAAGGGGAUGUUGGGUGUGGUAAAACUAUAGUUGCUUUCCUAGCAUGUAUGGAGGUUGUUAACUCAGGAUUUCAGGCUGCUUUCAUGGUUCCAACUGAGAUACUUGCUGUUCAGCAUUAUGAACACCUAACUUCAUUGCUGGAGAAGUUAGAUGGAGAUGAAUGCAAACCAAAUAUUGCCUUGCUAACUGGUUCAACUUCCACCAGAGAGUCGAGGAUAAUUCGGAAUGGUCUCAAGACUGGAGAAAUAUCAAUGGUCAUUGGAACACACACCUUAAUAGCUGAUAAAACUGACUUUUCAGCUUUACGUAUCUCUGUUAUAGAUGAGCAGCAACGUUUUGGUGUUAUCCAACGAGGAAGGUUCAAUAAUAAGCUGUAUACUUCAUCUUCAAAGCUGAGUGAUGAAAAUACAAGCGCAGAUGAGGCUUCUGAUUCUGAAACAUUUAUGGCUCCCCAUGUUCUUGCUAUGUCAGCUACCCCAAUUCCAAGAACACUGGCUCUUGCUUUAUAUGGGGAUAUGUCUCUUACUCAGAUUACAGAUUUGCCUCCAGGAAGGCAACCCAUAGAAACUCUUGCUCUUGAAGGAAAUGAUGCUGGGUUUGAAACUGUCUUCCAGAUGAUGAGGGAUGAGCUUAUGGAUGGGGGCAAAGUGUAUCUCGUUUAUCCUAUCAUAGAAGAAUCAGAGCACCUACCACAACUUCAUGCUGCCAAAGCUGAUUUUGAUUCGAUAAAACAGAAGUUUGAAGGCUAUCCAUGUGGGUUGCUGCAUGGCCGCAUGAAGGGCGCCGAGAAGGAUGAAGCUCUGGGCAGUUUCAGAUCCGGGGAAACGCGUAUUCUCCUGGCGACGCAAGUUAUUGAGAUCGGAGUCGAUGUUCCUGAUGCUUCUAUGAUGAUUGUCAUGAAUGCCGAGAGAUUCGGAAUGUCUCAGCUGCACCAGUUAAGAGGGCGGGUCGGUCGCGGGGGAAAGAAAUCCAGAUGCGUGUUCCUGUCCUCCACUUCCAGCACAUUGCCAAGGUUGAAGGUGCUUGAAAAUUCAUCCGAUGGGUUCCACCUAGCUAACGCCGACCUGGUGAUGCGUGGCCCUGGCGAUCUACUUGGCAAGAAACAGUCGGGGCAUCUUCCGGAGUUUCCAAUAGCCAGACUGGAGAUUGAUGGGAGUAUUCUGCAAGAAGCCCAUCUUGUUGCACUAAAAAUUUUGGGAACGAGCAACGACCUAUCGUUGUUUCCACGUCUGAAAGUGGAGCUCAGCAUGAGGCAGCCGCUAUGCCUUCUUGGAGAUUGACCUCACCUGUUCGCGGAACCGACAAUACAAUGCGGCCCUGCCAUGACGGCAUGUGCCGUAUAAGGCAUCCUAGUGUGCAUUGUAUUGAAACUAGUUCUGGUGGCAAAGCUGGCAUGGCCAUAUGUUGUUGGGUGUAGCAACGCUCUAAACCUGUUGAAAGAUGCGUAUAUUGUGCGAUCAAGACAUGGUUAAUGGCGAGAUGGUACUUCUAAUUUAGGCUAAUUUAUGUUUGCAGAGAAAUUGUGAAAUGCCAUCUCUUUUGGAGGAUGCGUUUCUCUCUUUUAUUCGAGGGAAAGGAAUAGCAGGCGAGCU
rnacentral:rRNA from 1 species